ensembl:lncRNA
ACCUUCAGACACACCUUUGGAUGUGACCUUUCAGGUGGAGAUGCAGUUAUGUUUUAGUCUCCAGCAACUAACUUAAAGCCUGACACACAGAUCUGAGUGUGCACUGUUCCACAUCACCUUGGAACGCUGGAGUCUCAGCUGCCUUCUCUUUGGAAUUUCUGGUGCAGCUCUCUCUGCCCUGCCAUCCACUAGCCGAGCCUUAAACCCAUCUGCACAACAGAAUCUGCCAACGGAAGCUUAAAAAGAUUUCAGAUUCCUUGGACCAUGCCAGAGAACCCCCACUGAGCCUCAAUGUCACCUCCUCUAUGUCAACAUUCAGCCCCUCUGGGCAUUUCCUCCUCUGUGGCCCACUUUGCUUGUCUCCUGACAGCUUCUGCUCCUCGACUGUAAGUUUCUUGAGAGCAGGGUCUUUAUC